rnacentral:rRNA from 1 species
GAGAGUUUGAUCCUGGCUCAGAUUGAACGCUGGCGGCAGGCCUAACACAUGCAAGUCGAGCGGUAGAGAGAAGCUUGCUUCUCUUGAGAGCGGCGGACGGGUGAGUAAUGCCUAGGAAUCUGCCUAGUGGUGGGGGAUAACGUUCGGAAACGGACGCUAAUACCGCAUACGUCCUACGGGAGAAAGCGGGGGACCUUCGGGCCUCGCGCCAUUAGAUGAGCCUAGGUCGGAUUAGCUAGUUGGUGAGGUAAUGGCUCACCAAGGCGACGAUCCGUAACUGGUCUGAGAGGAUGAUCAGUCACACUGGAACUGAGACACGGUCCAGACUCCUACGGGAGGCAGCAGUGGGGAAUAUUGGACAAUGGGCGAAAGCCUGAUCCAGCCAUGCCGCGUGUGUGAAGAAGGUCUUCGGAUUGUAAAGCACUUUAAGUUGGGAGGAAGGGUAGUAACUUAAUACGUUGCUACUUUGACGUUACCGACAGAAUAAGCACCGGCUAACUUCGUGCCAGCAGCCGCGGUAAUACGAAGGGUGCAAGCGUUAAUCGGAAUUACUGGGCGUAAAGCGCGCGUAGGUGGUUCAGUAAGUUGGAAGUGAAAUCCCCGGGCUCAACCUGGGAACUGCUUUCAAAACUGCUGAGCUAGAGUACGGUAGAGGGUGGUGGAAUUUCCUGUGUAGCGGUGAAAUGCGUAGAUAUAGGAAGGAACACCAGUGGCGAAGGCGACCACCUGGACUGAUACUGACACUGAGGUGCGAAAGCGUGGGGAGCAAACAGGAUUAGAUACCCUGGUAGUCC